NAUCCCGUGAACCAUCGAGUCUUUGAACGCAAGUUGCGCCCGAAGCCAUUAGGCCGAGGGCACGUCUGCCUGGGCGUCACGCAUCGCGUCGCCCCCUCCCCCAUCCGCGCAUCAGUGGAUUCGGGGGGCGGAGAUUGGCCUCCCGUGGGCUACUGCUCGCGGCCGGCCC
rnacentral:rRNA from 1 species